ACUUGAAUAGCUUAUACAGAGCGCGACACUGAAGAUGUCGAUGAGGCAAUUAAUUGCCUUUGAGUA
rnacentral:tRNA from 1 species